CGCCCCUUAGGCAAGUGGUGAAGCCGUCAGAUUCUCAAUCUGAAGACACGGGUUCGACUCCCGUAGGGGUGACCA
rnacentral:tRNA from 1 species